UGGGGUGCACCAGGCGCGAAAACUCUACAAUGCAGGCAACUGCGAUAGGGGGACAUCGAGUGGCAUCCACCUUGGGUGCCUGUCCAACCGUCUAAAAAACGGUUGUUAGCAAGGGCCGGGUAAGACCGGUGCCAGCCGCCGCGGUAAUACCGGCGGCUCGAGUGGUGGCCGAUAUUAUUGAGUCUAAAGGGUCCGUAGCCGGCUUUGCAAGUCCCCUGGGAAAUCCAGCGGCUUAACCGUUGGGCUUUCAUGGGAUACUACAUUGCUUGGGACUGGGAGAGGUAGGAGGUACUCGAGGGGUAGGGGUGAAAUCCUGUAAUCCUUCGGGGACCACCGGUGGCGAAGGCGUCCUACCAGAACAGGUCCGACGGUGAGGGACGAAAGCUAGGGGCACGAACCGGAUUAGAUACCCGGGUAGUCCUAGCCGUAAACGAUGCCCGCUAGGUGUCACGACGGUCGUGAGUCGUCGUGGUGCCGUAGGGAAGCCGCGAAGCGGGCCACUUGGGAAGUACGACCGCAAGGUUGAAACUUAAAGGAAUUGGCGGGGGAGCAC
rnacentral:rRNA from 1 species